rnacentral:rRNA from 1 species
CUGAGAAACGGCUACCACAUCUACGGAUGGCAGCAGGCGCGAAAAUUGCCCAAUCCCGAUUCGGGGAGGCAGUGACAAGAAAUAACAACCCAGAACAUUGUUUCCGGGAUUGCAAUGAGAACAAUUUAAAAACCUUAUCGAGUACCAACUGGAGGGCAAGUUCUGGUGCCAGCAGCCGCGGUAAUUCCAGCUCCAGUAGCGUAUAUUAAAGUUGCUGCAGUUAAAAAGCUCGUAGUUGAAUUUCUGUUUGUAAGAGUCGAAGCUUUACAGCUAAGAUUUCUUCGAACAUCUGUUUGCAAGCAUACGUUCGGCCUUCACUGGUUGGCUAUGUAAGCAAGCGUUUUACCUUGAGAAAAUUAGAGUGUUCCAGGCAGGCUUCAGCCGGAAUACAUUAGCAUGGAAUAAUGGAAUAGGACUGGGG